rnacentral:rRNA from 1 species
UCGAGAAUCUUCCGCAAUGGGGGAAACCCUGACGGAGCGACGCCGCGUGGAGGAUGAAGUUCUUCGGAAUGUAAACUCCUUUUGCCGGGGACGAAGUUAUUGACGGUACCCGGAGAAUAAGAGGUUGCUAAACUCGUGCCAGCAGCAGCGGUAAUACGAGUGCCUCAAGCGUUAUCCGGAAUCAUUGGGCGUAAAGGGUGUGUAGGCGGUUGUGUUAGUCUUUCGUAAAAUCUUUCGGCUCAACCGAGAGUCUGCGAGGGAAACGGCACGGCUGGAGGAUGGGAGGGGUCUCUGGAACUCUAGGUGUAGCGGUGAAAUGCGUUGAUAUCUAGGGGAACACCAAAAGCGAAGGCAAGAGACUGGUCCAUUUCUGACGCUGAAACACGAAAGCGUGGGUCGC